rnacentral:rRNA from 1 species
CCUACGGGGGGCUGCAGUGGGGAAUAUUGGACAAUGGGGGCAACCCUGAUCCAGCCAUGCCGCGUGUGUGAAGAAGGCCCUCGGGUUGUAAAGCACUUUCAGUGAGGAAGAACGCCUGGUGGUUAAUACCCAUCAGGAAAGACAUCACUCACAGAAGAAGCACCGGCUAACUCCGUGCCAGCAGCCGCGGUAAUACGGAGGGUGCGAGCGUUAAUCGGAAUUACUGGGCGUAAAGCGCGCGUAGGUGGCUUGAUAAGCCGGUUGUGAAAGCCCCGGGCUCAACCUGGGAACGGCAUCCGGAACUGUCAAGCUAGAGUGCAGGAGAGGAAGGUAGAAUUCCCGGUGUAGCGGUGAAAUGCGUAGAGAUCGGGAGGAAUACCAGUGGCGAAGGCGGCCUUCUGGACUGACACUGACACUGAGGUGCGAAAGCGUGGGUAGCAAACAGGAUUAGAUACCCCUGUAGUC